rnacentral:rRNA from 1 species
CCUACGGGUGGCAGCAGUGGGGAAUAUUGCACAAUGGGGGAAACCCUGAUGCAGCGACGCCGCGUGAAGGAAGAAGUAUUUCGGUAUGUAAACUUCUAUCAGCAGGGAAGAAAAUGCCGGUAUUUGACUAAGAAGCCCCGGCUAACUACGUGCCAGCAGCCGCUGUAAUACGUAGGGGGCAAGCGUUAUCCGGAUCUACUGGGUGGAAAGGUAGCGUAGGCGGUGCAGCAAGUCAGAAGUGAAAGCCCGGGGCUCAACUCCGGGACUGCUUUGGAAACUGUUGAACUAGAUUGCAGGAGAGGUAAGUGGAAUUCCUAGUGUAGCGGUGAAAUGCGUAGAUAUUAGGAGGAACACCAGAGGCGAAGGCGGCGUACUGGACUGGAAAUGACGCUGAGGCUCGAAAGCGUGGGGAGCAAACAGGAUUAGAUACCCCUGUAGUC